UACGAAGGGGGCUAGCGUUGCUCGGAAUCACUGGGCGUAAAGCGCACGUAGGCGGCUUUCUAAGUCAGGGGUGAAAUCCCGGAGCUCAACUCCGGAACUGCCUUUGAUACUGGAAAGCUUGAGUUCGGGAGAGGUGAGUGGAACUGCGAGUGUAGAGGUGAAAUUCGUAGAUAUUCGCAAGAACACCAGUGGCGAAAGGCGGCUCACUGGCCCGAUACUGACGCUGAGGUGCGAAAGCGUGGGGAGCAAACGGG
rnacentral:rRNA from 1 species